UCAAACUUGGUCAUUUAGAGGAAGUAAAAGUCGUAACAAGGUUUCCGUAGGUGAACCUGCGGAAGGAUCAUUAGCGAAGUUCGGAAUGCAUGUUUGGUGUUGAUGCUGCCCAGCAAUGGGAUGUGCUCGCUCGAAUGUGUGUCCCUUCUCUAUCCACCCCAUUGUGAACCAAGUGUGUGAGCCGAAGAGAAAUCGGAGGCUCGCAUGCAAACCCUUAACAUACCCCAAUGAAGUAUCAGAAUGUACCUUGCGUUAACUCGCACAAAUAUAACUUUCAACAACGGAUCUCUUGGCUCUCGCAUCGAUGAAGAACGCAGC
rnacentral:misc_RNA from 1 species